GAAGUGCGAUAAGCAAUGCGAAUUGCAGAACCGUGAGUCAUCAGAUCUUUGAACGCAACUGGCACUUGGUGGCUAUCCACCUAGUAUGCUUGUUUCAGUGUCUCAUUUUCUCCUAACCAAAAUCUUAAUGCUUGAGAUACCCUUCUCUAGCUAAGUACGAAAGCACUCUGAGCCCUGCAGGUGAUUUGGCUUCGGCCAAGGUCACACUCAAUGCAGCAGUCACAUUUCUAUGUGAACUCAUUGAGAGUAGAGUCAGCGCAGCUAGUCUGCAAGUGCUUAGGCCCUUAAACUCUUCUAGCAUCUGAAAUCAAGCAGGAUCACCCGCUGAACUUAA
rnacentral:misc_RNA from 1 species